AUUGGUGUCAUAUUGGCUUAGUAGGGAAAGUAGGGACAUUUUUAUUUUAUUUUAUUAUAUAUAUUUGUUUUACCUUUAUUUAACCAGGCAAGUCAGUUAAGAACAUAUUCUUAUUUUCAAUGACGGCCUGUGAACAGUGGGUUAACUGCGUUAAAAAAAAUAGUCAUAUGUUUCUACCAUAUCUGGUUCUCAAGUUAAUUUAGCAUGAUUAGCGUGAAUAGAAUGUCAUUAUGGUCAAAAAGUGGUCGCUGCUCCACUGGCAGAACGGCGCUAACUUCCAACGUCAACUGACAAGGUAUCAACUUCCAACGUCAACUGACAAGGUAUCAACUUCCAACGUCAACUGACAAGGUAUCAACUUCCAAUGUCAACUGACAAGGUAUCAACUUCCAACGUCAACUGACAAGGUAUAAACUUCCAAC